rnacentral:rRNA from 1 species
AAUAUGGCACAAUGGGCGCAAGCCUGAUGCAGCAACGCCUCGUGAGCGAUGAAUGCCUUUGGGAANACAAUCUCUGUCUUUGGGGANAUAUAAACGACGGUACCCUCGGAGGAAGCCCCGGCUCACCACGUGCUAGCAGCCGCGGUAAUACGUAGGGGGCAAGCGUUAUCCGGAAUUAUUGGGCGUAAAGAGUGCGUAGGUGGUUUUGUAAGCGCGGGGUGAAAGGCAAUGGCUCAACCAUUGUAAGCCUUGCGAACUGCAAGACUUGAGUGCAGGAGAGGAAAGUGGAAUUCCUAGUGUAGCGGUGAAAUGCGUAGAUAUUAGGAGGAACACCAGUGGCGAAGGCGACUUUCUGGACUGUAACUGACACUGAGGCACGAAAGCGUGGGGAGCAAACAGG